ACAUGCCUACAACAUAGCGUUAAUGCAACGGAUCUCAUCAGAACUAUGCAGUUAAAUGCGCUCAGGAUAGAGUAGUACCUGGAUGGGUGACCACCUAGGAAGUCCUAGUGUUUUACAUGCU
rnacentral:rRNA from 1 species